rnacentral:tRNA from 1 species
UCCCCGGUAGCUCAACUGGUAGAGCAGCCGGCUGUUAACCGGCGGGUCGAAGGUUCGAAUCCUUCCCGGGGAGCCA